CAGCAGCCACGGUAAUACGUAGGGUGCAAGCGUUAAUCGGAAUUACUGGGCGUAAAGCGUGCGCAGGCGGUUAUAUAAGACAGAUGUGAAAUCCCAGGGCUCAACCUGGGAACUGCAUUUGUGACUGUAUAGCUAGAGUACGGCAGAGGGGGAUGGAAUUCCGCGUGUAGCAGUGAAAUGCGUAGAUAUGCGGAGGAACACCGAUGGCGAAGGCAAUCCCCUGGGCCUGUACUGACGCUCAUGCACGAAAGCGUGGGGAGCAAACAGGAUUAGAUACCCCUGUAGUCCCUGUCUCUUAUAU
rnacentral:rRNA from 1 species